rfam:Hordeum vulgare subsp. vulgare, WGS project CAJW01000000 data, contig: morex_contig_37952
UGAAUACUACCUCCGUCCGAAAAUACUUGUUCUAAAAAUGAAUGUAUCUAGAUUUAUUUUAGUUAUAGAUAUAUUCAUUAUAUUCAUUUUUAGGACAAGUAUUUCCGGACGGAGGGAGUAUAAC